GGCACGGUGGCUUAGUGGUUAGUGCUGCUACCUUGCACCUGUGGGUUUGUGGGCUCGAUUCCCACACUUGCCC